rnacentral:rRNA from 1 species
UGCUCUCGGAUCGUGGCGACGGGUGAGUAACACGUGAGUAACCUGCCCCUGACUCUGGGAUAAGCGUUGGAAACGACGUCUAAUACCGGAUAUGACUUACGGACGCAUGUUCUGUGGGUGGAAAGAUUUUUCGGUUGGGGAUGGACUCGCGGCCUAUCAGCUUGUUGGUGAGGUAAUGGCUCACCAAGGCGACGACGGGUAGCCGGCCUGAGAGGGUGACCGGCCACACUGGGACUGAGACACGGCCCAGACUCCUACGGGAGGCAGCAGUGGGGAAUAUUGCACAAUGGGCGCAAGCCUGAUGCAGCAACGCCGCGUGAGGGACGACGGCCUUCGGGUUGUAAACCUCUUUUGGCAGGGAAGAAGCGAAAGUGACGGUACCUGCAGAAAAAGCACCGGCUAACUACGUGCCAGCAGCCGCGGUAAUACGUAGGGUGCAAGCGUUGUCCGGAAUUAUUGGGCGUAAAGAGCUCGUAGGCGGUUUGUCGCGUCUGCUGUGAAAACGCGAGGCUCAACCUCGCGCCUGCAGUGGGUACGGGCAGACUAGAGUGCGGUAGGGGAGAUUGGAAUUCCUGGUGUAGCGGUGGAAUGCGCAGAUAUCAGGAGGAACACCGAUGGCGAAGGCAGAUCUCUGGGCCGUUACUGACGCUGAGGAGCGAAAGCGUGGGGAGCGAACAGGAUUAGAUACCCUGGUAGUCCACGCCGUAAACGUUGGGAACUAGAUGUGGGGUCCAUUCCACGGAUUCCGUGUCGCAGCUAACGCAUUAAGUUCCCCGCCUGGGGGAGUACGGCGCAAGCUAAACUCAAGGAUUGACGGGGGCCGCACAGCGCGAGCAUGCGAUAUCGAUGC